AAUUAGAAAACGUUUUUCGUAUUAAGUUUCGGCCUUAACCCAGCACAUAUUGCUCUAAUUU
rnacentral:tRNA from 1 species